AUGCACACGAAUCACAUACUCCGUGAGUUCCAUUACAAGAACAAGUCCAUCAACUUCAGCAAGCUCAUGGUGAAAAGGAUCUUCAAUGUGCCAUCCGGUGAUGGACCUGUGAAGCUUUUAAAAAAGAGCGAUGAACAUGUCCUUUGCAACAUAUACAAGGAGGGAAACAGGGCGCCAAUUGCACAUGUUAUCAAGUUGCUUAAAGAUUGCGGCAAUGAGGACAAGGUUAUGAUAAAUAGGACAUGGGCACUCAUUGCGUUGGCAACAGUUGUGUGCCCAGGCACUGGUAAUAUGGUUAACCUUGAGUAUCUAUCUUCCCUUGAAGACAUGCACUCGAUGCAUGACCUCGCUUGGGAUAAACACUUGUUGACACGAGCAAUGGAGGAGGUUGUAGUCUUUCAAGAGAAGAAGAGGAUGCAAGUAACAGCAGAAAAUCCAGUAGAGUUCCAGAUUUGCUCAUGCCUUCCCAUGUUAGCGGAUCAUAUAUAUGGAUCAUGUUGA
rnacentral:rRNA from 1 species